GAGGCCUUCAGAGAUGCGCUUGGGGAGCUGCGGCCAAGCGGGAGGCGGCUGAGGGGGACCAAGACGCCCCUGUGAAAGGGGGUGGGUUUCCCUGGGUCAGAGUGAGGUGGGAGAAAGGCGCCACACGCUCGUUGCGGACAAUCCCUCGGGCCAGAGCUCUCAUAUUUGAAAAGGCUCCCUAGUCUCCCUUGGCAACGGAGUCCUAGGCUCUCAGAUCUAGCACUUAGAAAGUUCUGCUCACUAGCUAACCCUAAUGACAAAAGCUAGCAUUUAUUGAGAACUCGCUACGAUCUGGGCGUAGUUCUAAAUGCACCAUGUCGAUUUUGAUUCACUUAAUGCUCAGGGCAACGGUGACUUUGACCAUCCCUACUCAGUGUUGGAGAAUAGUUUUGGAACCCACCAGGAUACAACUGUUAGCAAAUAGCACAGCAGAGAUUCGAACCACACCUCAUGCCAGGGCCUGUCACAGGAUUCUUGCUAGUUCAGUGCCACCUGUGGCCACUGAAACACUCCCCAGAGAAUAAAGGCAAAAGUACAUUGGGCUCAACAACCAGGGCUCCCAUCUCAGUCCAGUGCUCUUCUGUUUCCAGAGGGUCUCCUUUUGCCACUCUUUCCCAAUUCAUCCAGGUAGCAACUGUCAGCUGAUUUGUCCCCUUCUCCCCUCAAGCCACCAAGAAUUUCUGGAAGAGAAAAUCACUGCUCUGGGGAGCAGGCAGGUUCAUGUUUUCUCAGAAGUGGGCUUCCCAGAGGCAAGCAUUGGUGCCUCUAACUCUGUGGCAAAUGGAGAGGGAGCUAAAGACCCUUAUUGGGUCCUUAAGAAAUGAUCUGCACUCCUUCCUAGAUCUUUUCCACACCACGGACCCGCAACUGGUUGCUGUGUGUUCUUCCCUUCUCACCCCAAGUCGGCCCAGCUCUGGAUAGGAAUCGUGUUGCUACAGUCAGUUGCAGACUAUCUUGGAAGCUAUUUGGAUCAAGCUUACUCCACGGCAUCCUGGCACGUUGACCACUGCUCAAUUCUUUGCUGCUGCACUUUGAGAGAAGAAGAAACAGCAUCCUGCAAAAAUUAUCUGCAAGGCGUGGAAAGGACUCUGGUGGUCCUGGCAUCUCCUUAGUUUGCUGAGACCAUAAGCGCUAUUCCGGCAAGCAGGCUUUCUCUCUACUCCCGUUUAAUUGUGUGCAGACUCCUGUAGUGGGAGAAACCGGAAUCCGUGCUAACUUGUUGGCAUGACAAAUACAGGCCAUUAAGAAACCUGGAAACAGGUUCUUGGCCGUUCCUACCCCAUUUUGAGCAAAUGCCUUUGCCCCUUCCCAAUUUUCUCGUGUACUAAAGCUCCACCUUCAGGACACAUAUUCACAUUUGAAGAGUAUGGGAAAUAGGAAAGAACUCGAAAAAAAAAUAUUUAGGCACAGGGUCUAUGUUUCUUUAAAGGCUUUCUCUUAGACACACCCAUCUGUCAGAGGGGGUAUGCAGCUCACCCAUGACAAAGCUUCUCUCACCAACUGGCUGGGACCCUCCAUCUUGUUGGGUGUCCCUCAUGACACGUUUCGGAACUUCUUGUAACACAAAUGGCUGAAAAUCAAACAAAAGAAGGUGGUCCAGAUCCAUCCUCCAGACAGACCUGCUACCACGGAAACGGGCCGUUCAGAUGGGUUCUGAACAGUUGCGUGCACAGCCUUUGCUAGCUGGAAGAGUCUUCAUAAUGAGAAAAUAUCCACUCCCUCAGGCACUGGAGGCAUUCUGGGUUAACCAAGCCAUCUACAACCAGAUUCAUUUCUGCUAGACAGGGCUUUAUAGAUUCUGUGGUUUCCUGCUGAGACUUGGGACAUUAAGAACUGUUCAGUAGGCAAUUGGUCACAGUCACAAGAUGGUUAUCAUUCACAUUUUACUUCUCUGGUUUUCUUUUUUUCUUCUUCUUUUUAACUGACCAUGGUUGGGUUGAUAGGGGCCGGAAGCAACUGAGAAUGUUAGUUCUGGUGGUCAACAGAUUCUUUACGUUCUCUUUCUAUGUCGCUACAACACCCUGCACAGAAAUCGGAGCAAUUCCAUACCAGACACAUCUGUCUUGACUCCCUUGAAUUUCAGACAGGCCACUUUUUCUCUCCACAGCUCUGCUCCUAUCUAUGUGGUCUUCAGGCUGAAGACCUUAUCAAAGUUUCUGGCCCCUUUUGGUGACUGACCGGAAAAUGAAUUGAGCCAGCUUCCUUCCUGGUUUGCAGAUUAGCAGAUAGUUGAAAGCACACAUUAGAGGAAGUAUUGUUUUAUAGUUUGAGUUGAUGCUGAGAGAGGAGUUGAACAGAGUUCCACCAAUAGGGAAAGUCAGUCGAAUUCAGCGCAGUCAGGAGAUAUGGCUGAGGGAUCUGGCUGUGAUGUCUGUCACUUCAUUGAUUGCCAGAGUUGAGUUGACUAAGCUGGCUGGCCAGGUGGUCCUGUUCUUCCUCCCCCAGCCUUCUUGUCUUCCUCCCUCGAAGUGCUAUACUCUCUAAAGACAAAGACCAUCGGUCAAGGGUAGCUCACACGCUGUAACCUUUAAACAAAUUCUCAAGAUGUGGCUAAGCGGAGUGCAAGACCCAGACAGUCCUGUCUGUCACUCAACAUGGCCUUGGAUGGACGGAGAGUAGCCCUCCGUGCUUGGUGACAGUACCCAGCUGUUAGUUCCUGUAAGAAGGCUGGGUAGUAUGAUGGGCUCACCUCCAACAUUUCAGUUGUCAACUUUCUCUGUCAUGACUUAGCAGAGUUAUAUUACAUGUCGCUUCCCAGAAGAGCAGGAUAUUCGAAACCACUAUUCUCUGCUUUAGAGACUCAACACUGACUUUCUUUAAGCCAUAUAACGUCCUUCACUAUUAUCAGGGCCUAUGGCAAGUGUGACAAAUGCCAAAUCUUCUCUGAUGUCAUAAAGUCCAAGGCAUUAAUUACCCUGGUACUUGAUACUCUGCUGCAGAAGCAGUGUGCUGAGCUGGUUAAGAUUUUGUCAACUUGACACAAACUGGAUUCAUCUGGAAAGAUGGGAUUUCAAUGGAGAAAUUGGUCUGUAGGCAAAUCUGCAGGGCAUUUUCUUGAUUAAUGAUUGAUGUGGGAGGGCCCAGCCCACUUCAGGUGCUGCCACCCUUGAGCAAAGGGUCCUGAGUUGUACGAGCAAACUGUAGAGGGCAAACCAGUAAGCAGAGUUCCUCUAUGGUCUCUGCUUCAGGUCCUGACCUCACUUCUCUUCAUAAAGGACGGUAAGCUGUCUGAUGAGAUUAACCCUUCCCUCCCCAGGUGGCUUUCUGACAUGGUGUUUCUCAUAGCAAUAGAAGGGAAACUAGAGCAGCAUGAAGUUUCUUCAAACACCCGCUGUGUCUGUGGUGAAGCAUCUAAGGCUACCCUUGAUUGACAGCAAAGUACAGUGAAGCCAUCAGCAACCACAGAGUUUUCAAAUUCAUCAGCUAAUGACAUCUUCAGCUUUGGGACACUUCCGCAACUUGGAUGGUCUCUCAAAAAUUAAAGUUAAAUUUAUUUAACUUUAAGUUAAUUGCAUUAAUUGAUUAAUUUGAUUUUAAAUUAGAAUUAAUUUUUAUAAAUAAAGAUUUAUUUUUGGAA